rnacentral:rRNA from 1 species
GACGAACCGUGCGAACGUUAUUCGGAAUCACUGGGCUUAAAGAGUUCGUAGGCGGUCAGGAAAGUGGGGUGUGAAAGCCCUCGGCUUAACCGAGGAAUUGCGCUCCAAACUCCCUGACUUGAGGAGGCUAGAGGUAAGCGGAACUGAUGGUGGAGCGGUGAAAUGCGUUGAUAUCAUCAGGAACACCGGAGGCGAAGGCGGCUUACUGGGGCCUUUCUGACGCUGAGGAACGAAAGCUAGGGGAGCGAACGGG